AGUAGAAUGGCUGAGAUUUUAAGGUGAUAGAUUGUAAAUCUAUAAAGGAGUAUUAUAACUCUUCUACUA
rnacentral:tRNA from 1 species